UUGAUAUUUAUGUUAGACCCCACUCAGGCUCUCCCUAGGAGACCACACAACUAUGACAUCACCAGAAAUGCUCAGCCUGCUAACUGAGAACUUGGUUUUGGACAAAUCAGUGUCUAAAGCUUGACUCUUUACUAUCUCUCUUAUCUGACUUGAAAAGGACCAUUCUUUUUCUGAGUUACAGUUAAAUUACAUCAUCGAAAGGAGUGUUAAGACGAGUAAGAGACAUCAUCCAUAUUUUUUUCUUUGUUUUUUUCUUUUGUUUUCUGUCUGUGUUUUCAGCAACGUCAGUUGAUUACAGUUCCUUUGCAGACAGAUGCAGCAGCUGGAUAGAGCUCAUUAAACUGAAAGCUCAGACCAUAAGGCGUGGAUCAAUUAAGACAACCAUGACAGUUGAAAAAGCAAGUCCAGUGGGUGAUGGAAAUUUCCGGAAUCGUUCUGCUCCACCUUGUGCAAAUUCCACAGUUGGGGUUGUUAAGAUGACACCUCUUUCUUUUAUUCCUGGAGCAAAAAUAACUAAGUAUCUUGGGAUAAUUAACAUGUUUUUUAUUCGAGAGACUACUUCUCUUCGGGAG
rnacentral:lncRNA from 1 species